rnacentral:rRNA from 1 species
AGUGAACGCUGGCGGUAGGCCUAACACAUGCAAGUCGAACGGCAGCACAGUAAGAUCUUGCUCUUACGGGUGGCGAGUGGCGGACGGGUGAGGAAUACAUCGGAAUCUACUUUUUCGUGGGGGAUAACGUAGGGAAACUUACGCUAAUACCGCAUACGACCUACGGGUGAAAGCAGGGGAUCUUCAGACCUUGCGCGAUUGAAUUAGCCGAUGUCGGAUUAGCUAGUUGGCGGGGUAAAGGCCCACCAAGGCGACGAUCCGUAGCUGGUCUGAGAGGAUGAUCGGCCACACUGGAACUGAGACACGGUCCAGACUCCUACGGGAGGCAGCAGUGGGGAAUAUUGGACAAUGGGCGCAAGCCUGAUGCAGCCAUACCGCGUGGGUGAAGAAGGCCUUCGGGUUGUAAAACCCUUUUGUUGGGAAAGAAAAGCAGCAGGUUAAUACCCCGCUGUUCUGACGGUACCCAAAGAAUAAGCAACGGCUAACUUCGUG